UUAAAUUUAAAUAGUGUAAUAUAACACUUAACAUUUUCAUUGUUAAAUUCUUAAUUAAGUUUAAAUA
rnacentral:tRNA from 1 species